UUAAGUGACUAAGCGUACACGGUGGAUGCCUGGGCAGUCAGAGGCGAUGAAGGACGUACUAACUUGCGAUAAGCGCAGAUGAGGCAGUAAGAGCCGUUUGAGUCUGCGAUUUCCGAAUGGGGAAACCCAACUGCAUAAGCAGUUACUGUUAACUGAAUACAUAGGUUAACAGAGCAAACCGGGGGAACUGAAACAUCUAAGUACCCCGAGGAGAAGAAAUCAACCGAGAUUCCGGUAGUAGCGGCGAGCGAACCUGGAUUAGCCCUUAAGCACUCGGUGAAGUAGGUGAACAAGCUGGAAAGCUUGGCGAUACAGGGUGAUAGCCCCGUAACCGACGCUUCAUCGAGCGUGAAAUCGAGUAGGGCGGGACACGUGAUAUCCUGUCUGAAUAUGGGGGGACCAUCCUCCAAGGCUAAAUACUCCUGACUGACCGAUAGUGAACCAGUACCGUGAGGGAAAGGCGAAAAGAACCCCUGUGAGGGGAGUGAAAUAGAACCUGAAACCGUGUACGUACAAGCAGUAGGAGCACCUUCGUGGUGUGACUGCGUACCUUUUGUAUAAUGGGUCAGCGACUUAUAUUCAGUGGCAGGGUUAACCGUAUAGGGGAGCCGUAGCGAAAGCGAGUCUUAACUGGGCGCUCAGUCUCUGGAUAUAGACCCGAAACCGGGUGAUCUAGCCAUGGGCAGGUUGAAGGUUGAGUAACAUCAACUGGAGGACCGAACCGACUAAUGUUGAAAAAUUAGCGGAUGACUUGUGGCUAGGGGUGAAAGGCCAAUCAAACUCGGAGAUAGCUGGUUCUCCCCGAAAGCUAUUUAGGUAGCGCCUCGGACGAAUACUACUGGGGGUAGAGCACUGUUAAGGCUAGGGGGUCAUCCCGACUUACCAACCCUUUGCAAACUCCGAAUACCAGUAAGUACUAUCCGGGAGACACACGGCGGGUGCUAACGUCCGUCGUGGAGAGGGAAACAACCCAGACCGCCAGCUAAGGUCCCAAAGUAUUGCUAAGUGGGAAACGAUGUGGGAAGGCUCAGACAGCUAGGAUGUUGGCUUAGAAGCAGCCAUCAUUUAAAGAAAGCGUAAUAGCUCACUAGUCGAGUCGGCCUGCGCGGAAGAUGUAACGGGGCUAAGCAAUACACCGAAGCUGCGGCAAUAUCUUUUAGAUAUUGGGUAGGGGAGCGUUCUGUAAGCCGUUGAAGGUGAAUCGUAAGGUUUGCUGGAGGUAUCAGAAGUGCGAAUGCUGACAUGAGUAACGACAAAGGGGGUGAAAACCUCCUCGCCGGAAGACCAAGGGUUCCUGUCCAACGUUAAUCGGGGCAGGGUGAGUCGACCCUAAGGUGAGGCCGAAAGGCGUAAUCGAUGGGAAACGGGUUAAUAUUCCCGUACUUCUGACUAUUGCGAUGGGGGGACGGAGAAGGCUAGGUGGGCCAGGCGACGGUUGUCCGGGUUCAAGUGCGUAGGCUUGAGAGUUAGGUAAAUCCGGCUCUCUCUAAGGCUGAGACACGACGUCGAGCUGCUACGGCAGUGAAGUCAUUGAUGCCAUGCUUCCAGGAAAAGCCUCUAAGCUUCAGAUAGUCAGGAAUCGUACCCCAAACCGACACAGGUGGUCGGGUAGAGAAUACCAAGGCGCUUGAGAGAACUCGGGUGAAGGAACUAGGCAAAAUGGUACCGUAACUUCGGGAGAAGGUACGCUCUUGAUGGUGAAGUCCCUCGCGGAUGGAGCUGACGAGAGUCGCAGAUACCAGGUGGCUGCAACUGUUUAUUAAAAACACAGCACUGUGCAAAAUCGCAAGAUGACGUAUACGGUGUGACGCCUGCCCGGUGCCGGAAGGUUAAUUGAUGGGGUUAGCGCAAGCGAAGCUCUUGAUCGAAGCCCCGGUAAACGGCGGCCGUAACUAUAACGGUCCUAAGGUAGCGAAAUUCCUUGUCGGGUAAGUUCCGACCUGCACGAAUGGCGUAAUGAUGGCCACGCUGUCUCCACCCGAGACUCAGUGAAAUUGAAAUCGCUGUGAAGAUGCAGUGUACCCGCGGCUAGACGGAAAGACCCCGUGAACCUUUACUACAGCUUGGCACUGAACAUUGAACCUACAUGUGUAGGAUAGGUGGGAGGCUAUGAAGACGUGACGCCAGUUGCGUUGGAGCCGUCCUUGAAAUACCACCCUUGUAUGUUUGAUGUUCUAACUUAGACCCAUUAUCUGGGUUGAGGACAGUGCCUGGUGGGUAGUUUGACUGG
rnacentral:rRNA from 1 species